CCAAAUUAUUAAACCCUUAUACUCUCCUCCCUCUCACACUCACCAUCUCCCUCCUCUCCCCGCUGUCCCACUUCUUUCACCCCUCCCUCACCAUCAUUUCUGCGCCAAAACACCAAGCCCUCUUCCUUCUUAACCGGUGGUCUCGUCGGCAACAGCGUGAGGGUGAGCAGCUCACUGGAAAAUCGACUUGUUGAAGGAGAAGAGGCUACCAUCAUCAUUUGUAGUUGGUUAAAUUAAGGUUAUUUAUUAUUAUUUAGUUGGUUAAAUUACUGAAUUGAAUUAUGAAUUUUUCAGUGUGUUUAUAGGCUAUUAAAAUGCUAGAAAUAAUAUUGUAGUAUUAUCAAUUUGUUGUGGAAAACUUUAUGCGUACCAACAAUUUUUGAAGUGGGUUGUGAAAAUAAAUUUUUCUAGUCUGAGAUUAUUAUAACAAUUGCUUGGAAACUGUUGAGGCUGAUAAUUUUAUUUGGUUGUGAAUUGGACUAUGUGGGCAUAAAAUGAAGUCUGGAAGCCUAAGUGAAUUUUGGAAAUUAUAUAGAAGUAAUUCUUUUGCAGGUUCUAGACCUGUUUUGUGGGAAGAAUUAGUCUAAUAUUAGAAAAAAUGCUACCGGAUUUUCAGUAGGUGUUGUAUGCGAAAAGAAGCCGAAAAAUAAAAUGGGAGGGGAAGAGAAAUAAGUGGUUUUGGGUACUACAAUCAUUAUUAUUAUUAUUAUUAUUAUUAUUAUUUAUUUUAUUUAUUUUAUUUAUGUAUAUAUAUGUAGAUGCAUACUAUAUAUAUAUAUAUAUAUAUAUAUAUUUUGAUGUGUUUAUGUAUUCUAUUUUAUUAUUAUCAUAAUUAUUUUAAAGUAGAGUUUAUAUAAUUUAUUUGCAAGUAAGAUAUAGUGAAAAUUAUAAAAAUAUAUUUAUAAAGUUGGGUAUCUCAAAUAAUUUUUUUUAAACAUAAAGUCUUUGUAUUAUAUAAUGCAUACUAAAAUCAUAAGUUAAUUAUGGAGUCAUGAAAAAUAAAAUAAUGUCUCAUUUAAUUGUGUAUAAAAAAAUGAAAAUAAUUAGAAUAAAAGAGAGAUAAUCUACGGGUGUUACAUUUGUUUCUAGAAUAAAAGUUUUAUAAUUUAAUUUUCAUUUCAAAUUCUUUCUAGAAAAGCUUAAGUCAAGAUGGAAUGGAUCUUUCAAAGUAGUAACGGUAUUAUUUUAUUAUUCGGUGGAAUUAUGCAACAAUAAAAUAUAAGAACAAUUCAAAGUGAAUAAACAUCAUUUAAAACUGCUUUAUAAAGGAAUGAUUUAUGGCCAUGAAGUGGAGUGGAUGGAUGCACUACCAAUUUGCGCUCAGUUCAGCAAUGUAUAGUUAUAGACAAUAAACUUAGCGUUUGUAUAUUUUAAUUUUUAGUACUUUUAUUAUUUAUAUUAAGUUUUUAUUUUUAAUUAAAAAUUAUUUUUAUUUUUAUUCUUAGGAACUUGUAAAAGAUUCAAGCAUCCUAGUUUUAAAAUCUCAAAGUGCAAAUGGUUUUUCAUAGCAUUGCUUAAUAUUGUGCUUUAAUUGUUAGUUGAGCAUCACAUGAAUAUUUAUUUAUGAUAAUAUAUGUUAUAUAAUUAUUAAUUAUAUAGCAUAUAAUCAUAGAGAUUUAUUUCGAACUAGAAUAUGUAUUUCUUUAUAGGAUUAGAACAAGCAAUUAAGAGAGAAUUAGGGAUUCUAAUAAGUAAAGGCUAGGUUUAACCGUCUCCUAAUCAAAUUAAGAUUGAAGAAAACUCUAUAUAUAGGCAUACCCUUCCUAUUGAGAGCACUAUUCAAGAAAUUUUCUCAUUCCUUAGCUCUUAAGAAAUCAUGAAUUCUAGGCAAACAAGUGCAAAGCAAGAGGUAAGUUCUUCUUCUCCACCUCAUCCUAUACCUCAACUCAUACCAUCUAGCUUAAGAAAAGCCUUUAGGAAAUCAAAAAAAAAAAAAGGAGGAGAUCACCUACACCAUUCACACCACCGUCCAUACUUUCAAAAUCAAGAAAAGCUUCAAGAAAAACGAAAAGAGUUAGAAGGAAUCACCUUCACCAUUCCCUCCGCCAGUAUUCUCUAAGCAUCGAUGCUCAAGGAGGAGGCUUAGCAUGGAACAAGCCUUUAGGCCUAAAGAACUUAUUGCUUUUUAUGCAUACCGUAGAGCCUACCUUGGACCUCUAGAAAGACUUCUCAAUCUAGAGAAAAUUAUGGAGAUUGAGCGUUCAAAAAGGAGACAUUAAGAGAUGUAUCUCAUUGAUGAAGUUUCUUCAAAGGACGAAGAAAUUUUAUAUGAAAUGGUGAGAGUGAUAAUGAAAGUGAGGAGGAGAUAACUAUCUAUCCAAGAAUGGGUUAUAGGUGUCCAAAGAAGUAUGAAAUACAUCAUACCUGAACCAAUCACACCUAAAGAGGUCAUGGAUGCCUAAGGAAGAAUGGUAUACCACCAAAUGCUAAGAAGAGAAGACGACGCCCGAGGAAAUAUAAUAACUAAGUUGAAAUUUAGUUUCCUCUUUAGUUUGCUUGUUCUUAGUUAGGAAAUUAGCCAAAUUUUGUUUAGUUAUCUUAGUUAGCCUUAAAUUUAUUAUUUUUGUUUAAGUUAUUAAUAAAAAUUUCAAAGUCUUUUUUUUAUUUAUUUAAAUAUUUUUAAUAUUAAAAUAAUUAAUAAGCAUUUAAUAUCCCCUAAAUUGUAUAAAACUUACUUUGGAAACAUUUAAAAUCUCCUUAAAAAAUAAUUUAUGAGACGAGCCAUGUUGCGCAUCGCAAAAAUUACAUUGGCCCGCAGCUUCGUCACUAUAGCAACACAUGGUUCCGUAAGAGGAUUAACACAUGUGCAAACAGGCUUGCAAGGAGCACAAAUAACUUAUUUUGUUAGGACUAAUAUUUAUCUCCGAGGUUAUAGUUUUUUCUCCUUUUCUUUUGAAAUUUUUUCUAUUUGAUUUAAGAUUAUCUUUCGUCUAGCAGAAAGAUCUUUCAUUUUUUUUUCUUCAGUGAAAAAUUUGUCCAAACUGUAGAUCGUGUUGAGGUGGACAUUUUCUGACUCGCCUGAAGGAGGACAGCAAGCAAUAGGGGCGCGGAUCACUCGAUGCGACACCACCAACAUGAGCGCAAAGCAACCCACGAGGCAACGAAGGACCAGGCGACGCCAACCAUGCUGGCGUAGGGCAGCAAUAAAGGUGUGCUUUUCAAGGUCUUCAUUUGCUUCUUCAAUGUUACCCACUCUAGCACUAUAUUUAUCUAAAGAAAGGCUCUUAAGGAUUUUGUUGUUGAUAUUCACUAGCUCAUAGUGUUUUCUAAACUUUCUCAUGUUGUUGAUGAUGGUGAGAAGUCUAUUUGUCAUAUCGGUGACGAACUUAUUAAGUUUCAUCUUGAACAUCUCCUAUUCAGUGACGUACAUUUGGAUCUUUCUUGAUUUUACUUGUUUCGUGCCUUCAUGAUAGUUCUCCAAGGUAUUCCAAAUUUGAUGAGUCGUAGUGCAAUGUUGCACUCUCCCGACUCUUAUCUAGAAAGGCAACUGACAAGUAUAACCAUUGCUUGCUUGUUCUGUGGUUGUGCUUCUUGUGGGCAUCAACCCAUUCUUCUCUAAGAAGGAUUUUUUCUUCACCAUUCUUUAUUUCACUGGGAGCUUUCCAUUCCUUCACCACAUAGUCCACACUUCAAUGCCAUAGGAAUCCAAAUAGAUUUUCAUACGGAAUUUCCAAAAAGCAUAGUCGGAUCCGUCAAAGAAUGCUUGAGGUGUUAGGCUCCUUUAUUGGUUGUCAUGACCUUUACACUCCCAAUUAAGCUUGAUGAGCGUGAAGUUGCUCUAAUACCACUUGUUGUCCUUUGGAACCAAGAAGGGGGACUGAAUUGGUGACCUUAAAUUACCGAAAUUAAAGAUUUUUGGCAAAAACACAAGAGAUUAAGGUAAAGGCAAGGAAAGUAAGAGUUAGAGAAGAUGACACAAAGGAUUUAUAUUGGUUUGGGAACAAACCUCCCUACGUCCACUCCUCAAUAUCACACUUGAGUGUUUCACUAUAAUCACUAAGAUUACAACCUUUGGGUUUUAUAAGUUCACCUAACAACUUAGUGUUUUCAAGGCUCACACCAAACCUUUUUUCUUAAUGUAUCAAUAUCUCACUAAGUCCCUUAACUCUUAAGUAUUAAUGGUUACUUAACAACCAAUUCCUUGUGUUUUUAAUAUCUAGAUUCACACAACAACUCUUUUAAGUUUUAGUUGAACAAAGAGUUUCAAUUUAAUACACUUUACAAAGAAAGAAAUUGAGUGUAGAAAGUUGAGAAAUAAAUUUGCAAGAGUUUUGAUAUAUUUAAUUCACACUUAGUUGCAGAGUCUUUAAGAGAGAUAUUUAUACACAUACUAACUCCUUGGAGAUGUUAUAAUGAGGCCAAAACUCUUUAAUUGCAAGAUUAAAGGACUUGGCAAAAUUGCCUAAAAUCAUGAAAAGCCCCCUCACGCUUUUUGAAAAGAGAUGUUGGAGCUCCAAGGGCUCCAACCAUGUGGCACUGAUAAGGUGACUAAAGUCUCAACGGUUAUUGACAUCACAUUAAUUGCAAAAACUGCCUUCGCGCUUGCCUUAUCCGUGCCUAGAAGCGCCCUCACGCUUCUUAUCGCUCUAUCUUCUGCCAGUAUUUGUCUUAAGGCUUAAAGAGAGGCAUCCUCACGCUUCUGAAGUGCUCUCGCUUUGACUGCCAAGUGGCAUGAGGCGAUGGGCUUACUGUCAGGUGAAAUCUUCAACAUCUUGUAAUCUUUUGAUCAUAUGAAAAAUGCCUUCAUGCUUUGGAAGUGCCCUCGCGCUUUUGGAGUUUUUCUACAAGACUUGCUUCGAGGCUAAAAAAUGUUUAGAAAAAGGUCAGUUCCUUUCAUGCUCUAUCACAUGGACACUCAGUCACGGUGUUAGUGAUAAUUUGAUUGUUAGAAUCAAAAUAGAGAUUAAUUGCAGCUUAGAUCAACAUGAGCUUAAAAUUAAAAUAAGUGCAUUACUAAGUAGUUGGCAAGACUAAAUAUUAUUUUUAUUAUAUAGUUAUAAAAAUUAUAGCAUUGCAUAUUUAUUUUACUAGUUUAUUUUUUUUAUAAAUAUUAUUUUUUUCUCAAUAUAUUGAUUUAAAGUAUUUAGAUUUAUUUUUAAUAUUUUUGUGUUGAUAAUUAGUAUGGCUUUAUAAUUCAUUGAGAGAUUAAACUCGAGAUGAAUUUACUGUUUUAUUAUAAGAACAGCUCAUAAACUUGUAAAUUACUGAGUUUGACACAUCACCUAGGAGCUCCAUCCUCAACCCUAGUUAACAAUUCUAAAAUGUCUAUGUUAUAGUUAUUCAUAAUAUCAAUUUAUAGUAAGAUUAGGAAGAAUAUAGAAUAAACUCAAAUACAUCCGAAUAAUUUUUUUUUUUAAAAAGAACUAGGAAUAGGCAACCCAAAAACUACUCAACGUUCCUUUUUAUUGAACUACCGCAUUUCAUUUUGUUUAAAGAGAAAAACAAACUGACAAACAAACAGGCCAUAUAUGCAUAUAUGCAUAUCAAAGCUCCACACCACAACCCUAGGCGACCUGUUCAUGAAACAGCUAUCCUUUUAUUACAAUAGCGUAAGCCUUUUGAUUAUUUUUCUUUUUUUGGCAAAGAGUGAACCAUUUAUCAUUAAUGAUCAUCUCUUAGACUUUAUAACGAUAAUUCUAGUAACCUUGUGCCAUCAUUUUCAGAGACAUCAAGGGAAUUGCAAGCUCCCUUCCAAGCCUGACAGAAUUGACAUAAUUCACAGGACUAUGAGCUGCAACACCAGGGAGAAACAGUCCCAAUAUCCUGAACAUUCUGGAUUCCCAGGU
rnacentral:lncRNA from 1 species